rnacentral:rRNA from 1 species
GUGCACCAGUCGCGAAACCUCCGCAAUGCGGGCAACCGCGACGGGGGGACCCCCAGUGCCGUGGCAUCGCCACGGCUUUUCCGGAGUGUAAAAAGCUCCGGGAAUAAGGGCUGGGCAAGGCCGGUGGCAGCCGCCGCGGUAAUACCGGCGGCCCGAGUGGUGGCCGCUAUUAUUGGGCCUAAAGCGUCCGUAGCCGGGCCUGUAAGUCCCUGGCGAAAUCCCACGGCUCAACCGUGGGGCUUGCUGGGGAUACUGCAGGCCUUGGGACCGGGAGAGGCCGGGGGUACCCCUGGGGUAGGGGUGAAAUCCUAUAAUCCCAGGGGGACCGCCAGUGGCGAAGGCGCCCGGCUGGAACGGGUCCGACGGUGAGGGACGAAGGCCAGGGGAGCGAACCGGAUUAGAUACCCC